AUAAAGAACGAAUAUCAGUUCUAUCGCCUGAGAUUUGAAACUGCAUUUUAAAAUUACUGGUCGCACUUUUGCCCGCCAAAUCAGUUUGUAGCGCGGAAAAACUUAUCCUGUCAAUUAAAACAAUGAUUGAUGAGUUUUUAAUUACCAGCUAGGUGAAAUUAAAUUCAGAUGAACCAGAUCUGACCUGAAUAUUUAGCUAAGGUUUGUCCAUCUUUCUAUCGGCUGCAGACUGUUAUAAAUACGAUCAACUGACCAGCCAAAGGGGUCAGUUCCCUGCUAGCGAUCGUGGCAGCCUGUUGCAGACAGUUUGGGGGCUGAACAAGAAACGAUGUCACUGGGUCAAAUGAAAACUACUGUUAUCAUCUCUCCUUUCUCCCCCAUUCAUUUCUUUCACACUGACAUACAUCUACUCACACUUGAUUUAUCUAUCUAAUUGUCAUGCCUACCACAUUUAGAUUACCCUUUCUAUCACAUGUCACACACCACACAAGACUAAGUAGAUUGUCAACAAAUGCAUACAGUUAAAAUUAUAUGUUGAUUUUCAUCGAUCCAACGUGGUUGAUUUAUAAUCGUAAAUGUAACGAAAAUAAAUCAUGUUGCUUGAAACUUCACCUUUCAGUUACACACUUUUCAACAAGAAGACAUACUCUGCAAGAAUCAUCCUCAUCGUCAUCAGUUACGUCCGAUAACUCCAACCAACACAUCAUCGUCAGAUUUUCGGACCUCUUCGUUACAGAUACUUUGAUUGAAUUAUAAGUGCUUGGCAGAAGUUAAUUUUUGAUUUCUGCUCACUACAUAAUGUUGGCGUUAGGAAGAGCAUCCAGCCAUAAAAACCAUGACAAAACAGACACUGAAGCCCGGUGCAGUCUUCUGCCUAGCCAGCUUCUGUCAAACUGUCCAAACCGUGCCAGAAUGGAAAGCGGAUGUUAAAUGAUGAUGAUUGUAUAGGAAAGUGGGUUAUACAUCAUUAGAUGUAUACCUGACGUUCCUGUAUAAAAUUAAGAAUAUAACGGAACGCUGAACUCCAGACUAUCAACUUAAACAACAUUUAUUCAGGUGGUUAAUAUAUACAUUUUUAGCUCUUGUUUGUUGUUACAGCUUCUGUGUAUGUGAGCAUGGUUGUUGGGACAUUGUUAUGUAGAUGUGAGCGAGCUGUCUAGCGUAAGUUCGAAAGAUGGAGAGAGACAGCUAAACACGUCCAUGCUCAAUCACUGGCCAGCAAGAAAGAGACAGAAUAGAAGCGGGAAUGCUUGGUUGUUGAAUUCCACGCAUGCGUGAGACUACGCAUGCGCACAGCGCUACUACAAUUGUAUAGGAGGUGUGAUAGGCUGGAUCUGGAUGGUUUGAACAUAAAGGAAGUAGAAUAUUUAAGCCAGAUAUGGUAGGUUUGAAUGCUGAAAAGUUUCAAGCAACAUAAAACAACUAUGACAUUACUACAAGUGAAGGCCAUGUUAAAAGCCCUGAAACAAACAUACCCUCACAGAAGUGAUAAUUGAGUGAAAUACCUACCGUAGUAAAAACUUCACUGUCACCAGCUUGGCUCCUCCAAAUAUCUUGCUCACCAUGAACUGAAGUACAUAAUCCACUGGCAAAUUAUGCUAUUUUAACAUUUUCUUCUAUUCAGCUGUAGGUGCAGUAAACCCCUCUCCUCCACCACUGUUCUAAAGGUGUAUGGUGGAGUGAAGGAGUCACGGUGGCAUCCCAUAAGAGGUAUCUAUUUGUAACCCAAAGCAAAAUGUAAGCUCAUUGUGUCUAUUGUCAUCAUCCUUGGACAAUCCAAUGGCUUCAUAAUUGAGAAUAUAUUUACCCCAGCUACACAUUUAUCUCAUAGUUGUGAGCAAAGUGACUAGCAUUCAGUAAAAGUGAAAAUCCAUGAAAACCUCCAGAAUUGUGUAACUUACUUCAUUGACAUGUCGUUCUUCCACAUAUAAUGGAUCUGAUUCAUCGAUCAGUGCAGAUGCAGAGCUUAUUUAGAUUAAACAAUGUUUCUGUUAAUGUUUGAAGUAUCAAAAAACAACAUUUGUCUAUCCUCAGCUUCUUUCUAAAUUAAUUAGGAUAUUAAUUUCAAAUUUUGACACAAGGCCAGUAAUUUUAGAGAAGUACGUUGAUUAUAACAACUCCAGAGUUUAACUGGUACCUACUUUAUCAACCCUGAGAGGGUAAAAGACAAAGUUGACCUUAGUGAAAUUUGAACUCAGAAUGUAAAAGAUGAAAUGCUGCUAAGCAUUUUCUCAGCAUGCUAAUGAUCUGUCAGCUUGCCAUCUGACUUUUCUAAAUUAAUUAGGCCAUUAAUUAUAAAAAUUCUGAGACCUCAAUCACCAACAUGAAAACUAGUCAAAAAAUGAAAGAAAUGACAAAAACUAUUUUUAUUGCAACAAAACUCUACAUGGCAAACUUGUGCUGAUUGUCAUGGCUGAAAUAACUGGAUCUUCAUCAUUUGUUCCUCAGAAAUGGAUACCUCUGUGCACAAUCAUCCAAAUGAAGAAGAAAAGAAAUUGAUCAUAAAUGUGUACAAGAAUCCCAUCUUUUUUGCAGCUUGAAUAAAAAAUCCUACCCAGACAUUGCCAAUAUUUACAAAAACAACUAUUCUGGGAUCAUUGACUUGAAAGGUCAGAUCAGUUUUCUUGAAAACAAGAUUCUAGAGAUGACCAAACAUACUGUUUACUAGACUGUCCUCUCAUUCUACAUUACUCCCUAACUCACUUUAUCCAAACUUAUUUACUCUUAGACAUCAUUAUCAUAGCUACAAUAAACCUUUCUGAUGACCCCGUUCCUCAACUGGUACUUAUUUCAUUGACUCUAAAGGACGAAAGGCAAAGUUGACUUCGGCAGGAUUUGAACUCAGAACAUAAAGACAGACAAAAUUCAGCAAAGCAUUUUGCCCAUCAUGCAAAUGAUUCCACUAGCUCACCACCUUAACCAAAGCCUCUAAUAAUGCAUUAAUUGAACAUUUCAAAAGAAAGUAAAAACAAGCUCGACAUGGUCAGCACUGAAUGUAAGGAAGACUUUUUCCUGUUAUCCAGCUCUGAUUAGACAGACUGAGACAAGGUGAAGAUUGAUCUAUUGAGCAACAGUUGGAAAUGUACAAACAGAAGAAACAAAUACCCAAUACAUAAGGUGGCUUCGAAGAAUGUAUAAAAGAAAACUUGUAAUGUCUACAGAGAGAAUCUUCACUUCGUACAUAUCUCGGGUACUUUUUUUUUUUAUUAAAAACCAAAAAUUAUUUUUCAGUAAUAACGAUAUUUCUGUUCUUGAAAACAUUCUGUAGUUUAUUGUUGAUUUCAAUCAUAAGCAUUUUGUAAACGUGAAGAAAUGCUGUCAUGCUUUCAUUUGACAAUGUUUUUUGGCACUACUUAAAUACAGAGGUCCCGACGCAUCGACGUAACGAUGUUUGUACAGUGCACACUCGUUAGAGUUAGGGUUACGUAGAUGCGUCGGGACCUCUAUUUAAGUAGUACCGCUUUGUUUUUUUUUUUAUUUUUAAGGGAAAUGAUUACAGUCGAUAAAAUUCUAAACAAUCUUUCUCUUAAUUAUUUUAUUUGGGGUAUAAAAUUAACUGUUAAUGUUUACAAGUACACCGGUACGAAAAAUCGUAAAUCUUAGGCAAGAACACAUGAAUCACUGUUUUCUUAAACAUUGUAUGAAUGAUGAUAUUACAGCACUUGUGAGUCUUUUAAGAGAAAAAAGAUAGAGACAAAACAUCUGCGUGUCCAACAUUUUGUUCAAAUAUAGUGAGCUGAAAAUUCGUGAUAUAAAGUAUUAUAUAAACAACAGCCGACAGUUGUAUUAUACACGACAUUGUCUACUUCUGUGAAGGACACCUUGAUCAAUGAAUAUAUACAAAAGAGUUAAUAAGAAUUGUUAUUGAGGAAACGAAAUAAAAAUUCAUCCUAAAUGAAACACUAUAUUUAUUUGUACCAUAUCAAUGCGAAAAAAAUAGGUAAAUGUUCUUACGAAAGUUGGCAACAGUCGACGACAGACGAGACUGGCUAACCUUUCCAUCUUCAAC